rnacentral:lncRNA from 1 species
CCACCUCCAAGAUCGGGUUAAUUUUGGAAGAUGCUCGGGCCUUCUCUCUCCCCCAAGAUGAACGCCAUUAUCGCCUUGCUUUGAGAACCUGGCGUUGCAACCCUGCUAUGAGGCGAGAGAGGAAACAAUGGAUGAUGGUGGAUAGGUUAGUUCCCGCGGACAUGGGAAGUUUGGUUUAGUAAAGUUUGGGUUGGGAUUUUUGCCUAGCAGAGUGCGAUUCCUGAAGCUAAUCUUGUCCAAAUUCCUGCUGCAGGCGGAAUUUGGUGACAACCUCGACAAUUCAGAUUCGGUUCCCCUGGUCUGUCGGAAAACGAGGCCAACCGUACAGAGCCGGAGGACUCAAAUGCCGAGUCUGCGUGCGGUCAACAACUCGGCGGAGAUCACAUUUGCAGAGAUCGAGUUGGGGGCGCCGGCGUGCGGAUGCAUCUCUGACCCGGUCAGUGCAGUCUACUGACAGAGUCAACCGGGAGGCCCCCAGUUGGAAAUCUGAAUUUCCCUAAUAGAAAUUGUACUUUUUUUGCAUUUCAGCUGUAGAAAUUUCCAUCAGCCAAUGGAUUGCUCCAUGAGAGGAAAGCAGCAAAACAUAUUGUUGCAUGAUUUCGUAAAAAUGAUAAGUAGGUUCACUGUCAGAAUGGCUGCCUUUGCACUGUCAGAACUUGUUGAAACUAUGUACUGAAUAUAUAGUUGUACUGAAUAUGUACCAUUUGUGUAAAAAAAACAGAUUACAAUGUGCCCCAUAUGGUUGCCCUGGUGCUCAUGUUGCGCUAUGGGAAAACCAAUCAACUGCGCGUUUGG